UACGUAGGGGGCAAGCGUUGUCCGGAUUUAUUGGGCGUAAAGAGCGUGUAGGCGGCCUGGUAGGUCAGCUGUGAAAACUCGAGGCUCAACCUCGAGACGCCGGUUGAAACCAUCAGGCUAGAGUCCGGAAGAGGAGAGUGGAAUUCCUGGUGUAGCGGUGAAAUGCGCAGAUAUCAGGAAGAACACCAAAUGGCGAAGGCAGCUCUCUGGGACGGUACUGACGCUGAGACGCGAAAGCGUGGGGAGCGAACAGG
rnacentral:rRNA from 1 species